CAGAUGUUGCUGUUAUAAUUUUAAGACAGAUGGACCGGAAUGAUCUGGCAGAUGCAAUUGAAGAGGACGAAGACUCAGAUGACGACUGAGUAAAUGAAGCUGGCCGUCAACAGGUGACAAGAAAAGAGCAACAGGCAUUCAUCAUCAUCA